GACUAGUUCCUGCACGAAUUUAUUUGUAAGUGCCUUUGCAUGUUUUUUUUUGUCCUUUUAUUUUGAAGUUCCUCCGGUGAGACCGGAAAUAGAUGUACCUGUCGCAACUUGACAUUGCAAAAAGUCCGUUAGUUUUACGUUUACUGAAGGAGAAGGAGUUCAUGUUUGUUUAUUCUUCAAUCCACUUUACGGACUGCUAAGCUCCUAGCUGGAACGGGAACAAGCUCUUACGGUGAUUUCUGGAUCUUUAUGGAAAAGGAACAUUUGUGUUCAAAAAUAAAAGAUUUCUGAAACAUCAGUACGCUUCACCAUUGUCCGGCUGGGGUCAGCUACAGUAAGAGCUUUACCCUCACCGACCUGACGACUUGCUGCCGCCAUUACGGGCUGUGACGGAGGGUCCUCACCACGGCUGCUGCUGCUAUGCUACGCUACAUGUCCCAGCGUGUCGGCACGUAAUCCAACUCAGCAAUUCUGGUAGUGGUCUCAUGGACUCGGUGCGAUGGUCAAGUACGGUCACAUCAACUGCUCCCCCCCCCUUUAUUUAUCACCAUACAGUGGUGGAAAUAAGGUGAGCUUCACAUUAAUUAACUCCCUUUAGACUCUUUCAUACUGACCUGCUCAUCUACAGCAAAGGGAAGAAACUGCUUUUGGCAUUCAAAGGACAUUUACGGACAUUUUCUAUUUAGAAUUUCAAGUCACUGACUUGUGUUAACGCGGCCUGUGUCUGUAUAUAAACACAACUGUGUUGCUUUCUAUUGUUGAUAUAUGUGUAUGCUGCUUCUUGCAAAGGUUUGAUAACUGCUAAAAGGUUUCCAUUGACUAAAUAAUUUAAGAAAUAUAGUUUAUGAUGUCAGAGUCCGGUAGCUUCACGGAGGCUGAGGAGCAGAUGGUUAGUUCCCAAAACACAGUUCAAGAUUUGCAGAGUGAGCUUCACUCACUGACAGAUGUAUCUGAGAGACCCUGUCUUAAGGACUUAAUUGAAGCAAGAGAACAGAGAAGUUUGAUCGACUUUCAAGAUAAUCUGCGAGAAAAUUACGACCAACCUGAAGUUCUCCGGCGCUCUGAACGCGCACGGAACCCUACAGAGAAGAUGCGUUCUUUACAAGGUGAAGAAGCCAAGAAAAAGGAAAAAAGGCUGCUCUUCAUGUAUGAGAGAUGGAAGCUCAAUGUACGCAAAGCAAGAGAUCAGAUGAAAACGUACAUGCCAGAGAGUGAGCUUUGGCCUCUCAUUGAAGAGCUGAAGAAAUGUAAGGAUGACAUCAUGAACAUGUAUUAUGAGAUUCGAGAUCUUGCCACACCUCCUACUGAUGUGAGAAGACGAGUUGAUACUUGUGAAUCUGUUACCACGGAAAUUGUCACUAUUGCCUAUAGUAGAACAAUAGACGAAGACGGUGAGUUUAUAGAGGACCAGGAAAGAAGACGCCUUCAUGAACUGCUCCACCGUGAAUGUGCAAAGUCUGUCUACGGAUCCGCUGCUUCCUUUAUAAGUAACACCCCAUCUGAACACCAAUCCGUGACUUCCUCCAUAGCAGUUAAGCGUGCAGAUGCAGCUGCUGAGCUUGCAGUGAAGGAAGCAAAUUAUGAGAUGAUGUUAGCAGAAGAAAGACAAAGGGAAGUGAUCCGAGAAUUAGAGGAACAGCAACGGAAAGCUCUAGAGGCACAAAGGCGUGAGUUGGAGCGACUGCAGGCAGAGAAGGAAGUGCGGGCAGCACAAGCUAAACUUAAGGUGUACGAUAAGGAGACGGAACGUGAAGUCACUGGCUGCAUUAACAACGAAAGGAAUAAGGACGCAAGGAAUGAGCCUGUGACCACAAUCCCUUUAUCACAUGCUGCAACACCCUUUCAAUCAGACAUUUCCUCUCUCGCUCAGGUCUUUCAAGACAGCAUAGCCUUGAAUAGGCUCCCGCUUCCAGAGCCAUCCAUCUUCAGCGGUGAUGCAAUACAGUUCAUUGAAUGGAAAGCAGCAUUCACUUCACUCAUCGACCGAAGGGCAAUCACUCCAGCUGAAAAACUCUACUAUCUGAAGAAAUACGUCGGUGGUCCAGCUCGUCAGGUGCUAGAUGGCACUUUCUUCCGAAGCGAUGAUGAAGCCUAUCAGGAUGCCUGGAACAAGCUAAAUCGUCGUUUUGGCCAGCCAUUCACUAUUCAGAGAGCAUUCAGAGAGAAGCUCACCAAUUGGCCAAAGAUUCAAAGUAAGGAUGCUCAAGGACUCAGAAGCUUCUCAGAUUUUCUGAGUGCCUGUCAAGAUGCCAUGCCUCAUGUCAAGGGUCUCGACAUAUUAAACGACUGUGAGGAAAACCAGAAGCUCAUCCAUAAACUACCAGACUGGGCGGCUUCAAGCUGGAACCGACAAGUCACGCAUAGUCUAAACCAGAAACAAGAAUUCCCAAGUUUCAAGGAUUUUGCAAUCUUUGUGUCAACUGAAGCCGAGAUUGCCUGCAAUCCAAUUACAUCCUUCUAUGCUCUUCAUUCAUUAGACUCUGACACUGAAAAAGGAAAUCUCAGAGAUACUAAAAGAGAUAAAGCCAGUGUUUUCACUACUCACGCAGUUACAGACAACACAAGCCAAGGCUUGGAUCAGAGAACUAUUAAUAUGUCCUGUAUUCUCUGUCAAGAUAAUAGACAUCAACUUCAUGCAUGUCCAAAGUUCACGGAGAUGUUGUUGGUAGAGCGACGUAACUACGUAAAGGAGAAGAAACUUUGCUACGGAUGCUUGAAAUAUGGCCACAGUGCAAAAGACUGUCGUCACCGUCACUUUUGUGACAAUUGCAAAGGAAAACAUCCUACAGUUCUCCAUGACUACAACUACGGGAAGGAAAUAACCACAUUAGAAACAGGGACAUACCAAGGUGCCACUGGAAUGUCACUCAGUGUAGCAGGCGAAGAUUCAUCCUACACAUCAAUGGUAAUGCCUGUGUGGGUGUCAUCUAAACACAACCCAACCAUUGAGAAGCUUGUCUACGCUCUACUCGACACUCAAAGCGAUACUACAUUCAUCGACCAGGAAGUGAGUGACGGUCUAGUUGCUGAAAAGUAUCCAGUGAAGUUAAAGUUGACCACUAUGACUGGAAAAAACACGGUUGUCCCAAGUGAGGGUGUUUCCGGCCUUCGUGUAAGAGGAUACAGCUCAUCCAUUCAUGUUGAUCUUCCAGUUACCUACACGAAGGACUGCAUACCUGUAAACCGUGCUCACAUUCCCACUUGUGAGAAGGCUAAACAAUGGAGUCACCUCAGAGAAAUAGCUGACGAAAUUCAACCACUGAAAGACUGUGAAGUAGGACUUCUGAUAGGCUACAAUUGUUCCAGAGCAAUGGCACCAAGACAAGUCAUCCUAGGAGGAGAUGAGGAACCUUAUGCUGUACGGACAGAUUUUGGAUGGUCUAUUGUGGGACGCUUCUCACAAAGCUAUGACUCGCUGACCACAAGUCACCUGUGUCACAGAAUCACCACUAAAGAGCUACCUUUAGUAACGCCUGCAGAUGCUAUUCGCAUACUAGAAUCUGACUUCAAUGAUGGCAGUGAAGACAGCAAAAGAGUAUCACAAGACGACAUCACCUUCCUCAAAAGGUUAGAUGAGAGCAUACGGAAAAAUAUACAUGGCCACUAUGAAAUGCCUCUGCCCUUCAAAAGUAGACCCAUCUUACCUGACAACAAAGCUUCAGUCAUGAUACGCCUCAACCACUUGAAAAGAAAAUUGCAACGGGAUGAAAGGUAUAAGGAGCAUUAUGUCAAGUUCAUGGAAGAUGUCAUCAAAAAAGGAGAUGCAGAGCAGAUCGUAGAUGGUGGGAGUGAAGGUGAGAGAUGGUACAUUCCCCAUCACGGUGUUUAUCAUGCCAGAAAGCCCGAUAAACUUCGCGUAGUGUUCGAUUGCUCUGCUAGAUACAAAGGAACCAGCUUGAACUACCACCUCCUCCCUGGGCCAGACAUGUUGAACAACUUGAGUGGAGUUCUCCUCCGCUUUCGACGGCACCCUGUUGCACUUAUGUGUGACAUUGAAAAAAUGUUCCAUCAAUUUCAUGUGAAGGAGGUCGAUCGCAACUAUCUGCGCUUUCUCUGGUGGAAGCAAGGAGUCUUGAACUCACCACCCAGCGAGUUCCGGAUGAAGGUGCAUCUGUUUGGUGCUGCCUCCUCCCCCGGAUGCGCAAACUAUGGAUUGAAGCAUCUAGCUAAGGAGAAUGCAGACCUCUACCCUCAAGGCUCACGGUUUGUCAUGAGGGAUUUCUAUGUUGACGAUGGGCUCACAAGUGUCGAAAGCACUGAAGAUGCUAUUCUGCUUGCUAAAGAAGCUUGUGAACUCUGUGCUAUGGGUGGUCUACGACUACACAAGUUUGUGUCAAACGACAGAGAUGUCCUGGAGAGCAUACCACCCUCUGAACGAGCAACCAAUGUAGAAAAUAUGGAUCUUGCGUUCGAUGAACUACCAGUUGACAGAGCCCUCGGGAUUAAAUGGGAUGUGAAAGCCGACCACUUUCAACUUAAUGUCAGCGUCAAGGAUCAGCCUGCAACGCGCCGCGGCAUUCUGUCAACAGUGGCCUCCCUGUAUGAUCCUCUUGGCUUUGUGGCACCAGUCCUGCUCAAAGCAAAAAGCAUUCUUCAGGAGAUGUGUAGGAGAGGCACAGGUUGGGACGAUCUUCUCCCAGAUGAGCUCCGCCCGAAAUGGGAACAGUGGAGAAGAGAUCUAGCUCAACUAGAUAAUGUCACCAUAUCCCGCUCUUACUCACCAGCUGGAUUUGGAAAGGCCACGAAGACAGAGUUACAUCAUUUCUCGGACGCUAGCUUAAAGGGUUAUGGUCAGUGCUCAUACCUGAGAUUUCAGAACGAAAAUAGAGAUGUUCAUUGUGCCUUAGUUGUAGGAAAAUCUCGUGUCUCACCAUCAAAGGUCACAACUGUCCCAAGACUGGAAUUAACAGCUGCAGUUAUUUCUGUGAAGAUAAGCAAAAUGCUCAAGGAAGAACUGGGAUAUGCUGACACUGAGGAAUUCUUCUGGACCGACUCAAAGGUGGUUCUAGGAUACAUAAAAAAUGAAGCAAGACGAUUCCACACCUUUGUAGCUAAUCGUAUUCAGAAGAUUCACCUUAGCUCGUCCCCUCAGCAAUGGAGAUACGUUCCAACCAAUGAGAACCCUGCGGACCACGCUUCCAGGUGCUUGACUCCCAGUGAGCUUCUGUCGUCCACAUGGCUCACUGGACCCAAGUUCCUAUGGAACAAGGAAAUAAAGUUGCCAGCAGACGAAAUUCCAGAGUUAACGAUCGGAGAUCCAGAGGUCAGAAAUGCUCUAGCACUAAGCACAAGAACCACAGACCAAGUAAGCCUUGUUGAUCGCCUGUCUAAGCUCUCAUCUUGGUCACUUGCUACUCGAGCUGUGGCACGCAUACUAAGGUGCAUUAGGCGAAACCACUCAAACAGUCUUACCAAUGUAGCAGAACGAGAAGAUGCAGGACAUUGCAUAAUCAAGGAACUGCAGAAGGAUGUGUAUCAAGAGGAGUUUAAACUGCUGCGCAAAGGGAUUCCCAUACCAUCUCACAAUCCAUUACACUCACUUGAUACGUUUCUCGACAAAGAUGGCGUCCUCAGGGUGGGAGGAAGGCUUUGCAACUCUUCUCUUCCCAACUUCAUCAAGCACCCUGCAAUCAUCCCCAAGGAUCAUCACAUCACAAAGAUGGUUAUUGCUCAUCACCACGAAAGGAUGAAACAUCAAGGCAGAGGUCUCACUAUUAACGAUAUCAGGUCCCACGGCUACUGGAUUCCAGGCAUCAACCGAGCAGUAGCUUCCUACAUUCGUCAAUGCAUCAUCUGUAGACGGCUCCGGAAACCAACGGAAGAGCAAAGGAUGGCAGAUCUACCCCCUGAACGUGUAGAACCAUCAGCCCCCUUUACUUUCUGUGGAAUGGAUUGCUUCGGCCCAUUCCUCACGAGACAAGGAAGAAAAGAGAACAAGAGAUAUGGUCUCCUUUUCACUUGUCUUAGCUCCCGUGCCAUUCAUAUGGAGAUGCUUGAUGACUUGUCCACCGAUGCCUUUAUCAAUGGCCUUCGAUGCUUUAUUGCUAUUCGUGGUGCUGUUCGUCAGAUCAAAUCUGACCAAGGAAGUAACUUUGUCGGAGCCAAAAAUGAACUCAAAGAAGCCUUAAAGGAAGUAAAUGCAGACCGGCUGGCUGCAUAUCUUGCAGAGAAACAAUGUGACUUCUGUAUGAAUGCACCCUAUUCAAGCCAUGUUGGAGGGGUUUGGGAGAGGCAGAUUAGGACAGUGAGAGGCAUUCUAAGGUCCACACUUGCGCUUUCCUCUGGUAGGCUAAAUGAUGCUUCCCUGCGGUCUUUUCUCUAUGAAGCUAUGGCAAUUGUCAACAGUCGACCACUGACCGUUAAUAACCUCAGUGAUCCUCAUAGCCUCGAGCCGCUCACCCCUAAUCAUCUUCUCACUCUGAAAUCUGUCAAGGCCUUGCCUCCUCCAGGUGAGUUUGUCAGAGAAGACGUGUAUGGCAAGAAGAGGUGGCGUCAUGUUCAGUACCUGGCGGAACAGUUCUGGAGUCGAUGGCGAAAGGAAUACCUCGCUAACAUUGCUCUCAGACAGCGUUGGCAUACACCAAGGAGAAAUCUGCAAGUUGGAGAUAUUGUAAUGAUGAAAGAAGAAGACGUGCACAGGCAUGAAUGGAGAUUGGGCAGGGUUUCAGUAACCACAACUGACAAAGACGGACUAGUGAGGAGAGUUAAGGUUCGCCUCGGCGACAAGAAGCUUGGAAAAAAGGGAGAGCGUCUCCACAAGAUGUCUGAGGUCAAACGACCAGUCCAAAAGUUGGUCUUGCUGCUGGAGUCUGAUUAAACUUACUCACUCCCCUAUGGUUCACAAUACUUUUUCAAAACGGCUUGUGAACUCGGUUUAUAAAGGCUCGUCACUUUCUUACUUAUGAAAGGUCAUAUUCAGUUAAAAAUCAUUUGUGCUUAAUGUAAAUUCUAUACAGUUACAUUAUUUACUCAUGAUUGGUGGGAGUGUAAAUGACUCUGAAAAUGUUCCAUUAAUAUGUUGACUAGUUCCUGCACGAAUUUAUUUGUAAGUGCCUUUGCAUGUUUUUUUUUUGUCCUUUUAUUUUGAAGUUCCUCCGGUGAGACCGGAAAUAGAUGUACCUGUCGCAACUUGACAUUGCAAAAAGUCCGUUAGUUUUACGUUUACUGAAGGAGAAGGAGUUCAUGUUUGUUUAUUCUUCAAUCCACUUUACGGACUGCUAAGCUCCUAGCUGGAACGGGAACAAGCUCUUACGGUGAUUUCUGGAUCUUUAUGGAAAAGGAACAUUUGUGUUCAAAAAUAAAAGAUUUCUGAAACAUCAGUACGCUUCACCAUUGUCCGGCUGGGGUC